CAGUUAUUGAUAUUGUUGAUAUUCUCAAAGAAAAAGAGGAAAAUAAUUUGGACGAAGAGCUGUACAUGCCAAUCCAACUCCUUAGUGGAAGCAAUGAGAAUGAAUUUGUAUCUAUGCAUGAGAGCAUCAUCAAAAAACUACAGUCAAAAUAUGGAGCUCCUGAAUCUWCUAUGAAUAUCUAUGUAUCUAUGAGGAUGUUACAUGGAGAACUGGAGAAG